rnacentral:ncRNA from 2 species
UAACUAAAUAGAGGGAGCUUAAGGAAUUGAGCUGAGAGGGCAGUUGAGACCACUGCCGACCGUGAUACCUGAUCUGGAUAAUGCCAGCGGAGGGACAGUAAUAUUGGAGUAA